rnacentral:rRNA from 1 species
CCUACGGGAGGCAGCAGUGGGGAAUAUUGGUCAAUGGACGCAAGCCUGACCCAGCAACGCCGCGUGAAGGAAGAAGGCUUUCUGAGUUUAAACUUGUUUUCUCAGGGACGAAGAAAGUGACGGUACCUUAGGACUAAGCCACGGCUAACUACGUGCCAGCAGCCGCGGUAAUCCGUAGGUGGCAAGCGUUAUCCGGAUUUAUAGGGUUUAAAGGGUGUGUGGGCGGGAGGGUAAGUCAGAUGUGAAAACUCAGGGCUCAACCCUGAGCUUGGCUUUGAAACUGUGUUUCUUGAGUGCUGGUGCGGCAAUCGGAAUUCAGUGUGUAGCGGUGAAAUGCGUAGAGAUA